UACGGGAGGCAGCAGUGGGGAAUAUUGCACAAUGGGCGAAAGCCUGAUGCAGCUAUGCCGCGUGUAUGAAGAAGGCCUUAGGGUUGUAAAGUACUUUCAUCGGGGAGGAAAAAACAAAACUAAUAAUUUUAUUUCUUGACGUUACCCGAAAAAGAAGCACCGGCUAACUCCGUGCCAGCAGCCGCGGUAAUACGGAGGGUGCUAGCGUUAAUCAGAAUUACUGGGCGUAAAGAGCACGUAGGUGGUUUUUUUAAGUCAGAUGUGAAAUCCCUGGGCUUAACCUGGAACUGCAUUUUGAAACUGAAAUACUAGAGUAUCGUAGAGGGAGGUAGAAUUCUAGGUGUAGCGGUGAAAUGCGUAGAUAUCUGGAGGAAUACCUGUGGCGAAAGCGGCCUCCUAAACGAAUACUGACACUGAGGUGCGAAAGCGUGGGGAGCAAACGAGGGAUUAGAUACCCGU
rnacentral:rRNA from 1 species